rnacentral:lncRNA from 1 species
AGACACCUCUUUUACUGUACGGCUGUUUCACGAUCUUUGGGCAGUGAGAGGGACAUAGAGAGCCAAUGGUUUUGUUUGAAGAAGAAGAGGCGAAGGGGGAGGAGGAAAAGAAAGGAGCGGAGAAGAUGAUCUGGCCAACUCACUAUUCCUCGAUGCAACAGAUGUUGCUGGGUUUGGACACAAUUAGCUUUUUCUAUUUUUUUCCCUAGAUAACUUCAAGUUAGAUGGCAACAAAAGAAAAAAGUUAUUUAAUACUUCUGUAUGCUUUUUAGUUGCACAGUGAUUCAUCUUUUCUGAAUUUGUUUGCUAAUUAGGAGUAUGAAAGCCAGGAUAGUGAUUUUUGUAGUUGAAAUUUGUAGUAAUAACUUUUGUUUGAGGGGAAUAGGAGGUAACAUGAUGUUAUUCCCUGAUUAUUUUUGAUACUACUCAGGAAAAAAACAAAUUACAGACAAUGGGCCGCUACAGCACAAUGAAUAGAAUCAAGA